CAGUAGCCGCGGUAAUACGUAGGUGGCAAGCGUUGUCCGGAAUUAUUGGGCGUAAAGCGCGCGCAGGCGGAUCAGUCAGUCUGUCUUAAAAGUUCGGGGCUCAACCCCGUGAUGGGAAAGAAACUACAUGUCUUGAGUACAGGAGAGGAAAGCGGAAUUCCCAGUGUAGCGGUGAAAUGCGUAGAUAUUGGGAGGAACACCAGUGGCGAAGGCGGCUUACUGGAAGAUAACUGACGUUGAGGCUCGAAGGCGUGGGUAGCAAACAGGAUUAGAGACCCCUGUAGUCCCUGUCUCUUAUACC
rnacentral:rRNA from 1 species